ACGGAGUCAAAGAGUCAUGGUGAAAUAAGACUGCCCUGCGUGUCUUCCUUCCAGCCUCAGCAACUGUCACCUCCUUUCUCUUCCUGGACAGGCGAGGGCUGCGGCUCCCCAGUUGGAGAGGCAGAAGCAGACCUCAUCCCCAGACCCUGAAGGCAAACGUCUCUGAGGACUUGCAUCCCCCUGCCGAGAAAGCUCUCCCACUCCAGGUUCUCCUGGCUUUAGGCUAAUCUGCGGCCUCAGGAACACUCUCGCCCUCUCAGAGCCUCAGUUUCCCCAUUUACAGACAGGCAUUUGGACCAGACAUCCUUUCAGACUCUUCUCUGCUGGAGCCUCCUCCCCACCCCCACCCCCACUCCCACCCCCAGCUGGCCCCGCACUCGGACCCCAGGAUCCUGGACCUUCUCUGGCAGAGCCCUGCACUGCUUCUGGUUGUGGUUUUAUUACUUGAGCCUCGUGCAACAGGCAAGAAUCCUCCAGCUCUUGUGUCAGGAUUCUGUUUGGGGUAAAAGAUUCCAAAUUCCGUAGGAACUGGGUCCAGCGAAAGACGCACUUGCCCACGGGGGGUUUGUCUCCAUAUUUGAGGCAAAGUGGAACAACAAGCAUGCUCAAGGAGCAGGAAUGUGAAAUGGGGCAGCCGCAGUGGAAGACACUCCGGCUCCUCCUGGAACACAGAGUGACCACGUGACCCAGUGAUUCCACCCCUAGGUGUGUAUCUGCCCAGGGGAAAUGACAACGGACAGCCACACAAAAACUUGUACACCCGUGUUCACAGCAGCACUAUUCACAAUAACCAAAAGGUGCAAACAUCCCAGAUGCCCAUCAAUUGAUAAAUUAGUAAACAAAUUAUGGUCUGUCCAUAUAAUGGAAUAUUACUCGAGCAUGAAAAAGGAUGAAGCACUGACAUUCUGCAGCGUGGAUGAACCUUCCAAAUAUGCUGAGUGAGACAAGCCAGACAUGGAACCACAGGGUGGGCUGCUGUCAGCGGGAGCCUGAGCCACACUGGGCCGGCCUGGAGUUGACAGCGACAGGUGUGGUCGGAGCAGGCACCAGGCAGCGAGGAGCUGAGGUUCCCAUCCCGGUGACAAAACCGUGGCUCUGUUGGGGAAGGCUGUUAGCUCGUCAUCACCAGAAAUGCAGUCCACGGAGCUCCUGGACCCGGAGUUGGAACCGGGUUAGGCAACUUGCCCACAAGGUGCCCACCUUGCUCCCCUGGGGCCUCCAUCUUCUCAAGCCCUCUCUGACUUCUAAGACCAGUGCAAGUGUCCCUUUUCCUAUGAACAGGACGACAGGACACUUUAGAGAGGGAAACGGACCCCUAGGAGUGCCAACAGGUGUUAAAGGAUGUCCACUAAGGGCAAACAGGGACUGUCCCAGGCAAGUGAGGUGCAUGGGCCCUCUGUAUGCAUGGAUCACCUGGAGGCCGCUUGUUCCCUUGUGAGUGAGACUGACCCACAUCUCCACAUGACAAGCCUUCAGAGAGGGAAGAGCAGUGCCCAGUGGUUGUCCCCUCAGGGAGGGUCAACAGGGCAAGUCCCUGCCCCCAAGGCUCCCACAUGACCAGGGGCUUGCCCCUAGGGACCAGCUGGAGGGAACAAAUCCGGGAGGGUCCACGCUCCCCGUCCCCACCCCCGCCCCCUUUGGGACAGGCUCUCUGAGGGCCCAAGGACCCUUUCAGCCAGCCUGGGAGCAAACAGGAGCAAUCCUAUUUUUUCAUCAAACUAAGAGCCAUUUCUGUCUGUCCCUGGUCUGCCCUCACGGACCCUGCGAGGCCUGCCGCCAUCCACGGGUGCUUUUGUUCUCCCUCACUGUAUAGAGACACUCCUGGAGCUUUUCUGCUGCUGCAAAGACAGCUUUGAUUCUCUGCCGAGAAUCCGUACCACAGCCUCCAAAAUGGGACCAUUCCUCCUGAGAGGAGCAGAGGAAAAUCGCUUUGCCAACUCCGGCUGACAUCGAACAUGGAGCUGAUUGCUCUGUACCUGCCACUGAGGAUUAAAGGUGACCUGUGCGUCGUGGCGAGGCCAGGAAGGAACAAGACUAGAGCUCUGAGCCCGGGGCGGGGCGGGAGUGCUAAGUGUGUGGUUGGGAGGU